rnacentral:rRNA from 1 species
UACAUGGGGUGCAAACGUUGCUCGGAAUCAUUGGGCGUAAAGCGCGCGUAGGCGGUUACUUAAGUUGGAUGUGAAAGCCCUCGGCUUAACCGAGGAAGUGCAUCCAAAACUGAGUAGCUAGAGUACGAAAGAGGGUCGCGGAAUUCCCGGUGUAGAGGUGAAAUUCGUAGAUAUCGGGAGGAACACCGGUGGCGAAGGCGGCGACCUGGGUCGAGACUGACGCUGAGGCGCGAAAGCGUGGGGAGCAAACAGGAUUAGAUACC